rnacentral:rRNA from 1 species
UACAGAGGGGGCGAGCGUUGUUCGGAAUUACUGGGCGUAAAGGGCGCGUAGGCGGCCUGCUAAGUCAUACGUGAAAUCCCUCGGCUCAACGCAGGAACUGCGUCUGAUACUGGUUGGCUUGAAUUCGGGAGAGGGAUGCGGAAUUCCAGGUGUAGCGGUGAAAUGACGUAGAUAUCUGGAGGAACACCGGUGGCGAAGGCGGCAUCCUGGACCGAGAUUGACGCUGAUGGCGCGAAAAGCCAGGGGAGCAAAGCGGG